rnacentral:misc_RNA from 1 species
AUCUUCCUAUCGAUUCUUCAACUACUCCUUCAGCUCGCUCUUCAGUCACUUCUCUUUACAGAGAAAAAAUGGCGACAUCUCUCUCCUCUACAAGAACACUCACUCUCUCUUCUCCUUCCACUUGCUUUACACAUUCAGCCACCAAGCAAUUCCUCGUCGAAUUCCCUCCCCGGACCAACUUCUCCGCCCUCACCCAUCGCUCUACACACCUCCGUCCCAUCUCUGCCGUUUCUACUCCUGAGAAAAUUGAAAAAUUGGGUACUGAAAUCUCCUCCUUGACUCUUGAGGAAGCCCGCAGCCUCGUUGACUACCUCCAGGAUAAGCUAGGAGUGUCUGCUGCUGCCUUUGCCCCCGCAGCAGCCGUCGUUGCUACCCCCGGAGCUGGUGGAGAUGCUGGACCAGCAGCAGUGGAGGAGAAAACGGAGUUCGAUGUUGUGAUUCAGGAAGUGCCGGCUAAUUCCAGAAUAGCGGUGAUUAAAGCGGUUAGGUCAUUGACGAGCUUGGCUUUGAAAGAAGCUAAGGAACUGAUUGAGGGUUUGCCUAAGAAGUUUAAAGAGAGUGUUUCGAAGGAAGAGGCGGAGGACGCUAAGAAGCAACUGGAAGAGGCUGGAGCGAAGGUUAACAUUGUUUGAAACAAGAAUGGGGAUUUGAAGGGAUGGAUUUAGUGGGUAAUUGUGUGUCUUUUUGUUUUGGGUAAUUUGAAAAUGUAUUUGAAUUCAUAAAAUUGCUAAAUUGAAUGUUGAUUUUCAGUGUUUUAGGAGUGUACAUGUGGGUUUCUAAAUUACCAUUAAAUUCCUUCCCAACAUUGCAAGAUGAGAAUCCAUUUGUAGGAUAGAUGCUGCAAAAAUGAAAAAUUGGAAUAGAAUUAAUUGUGAUUUGCUUCUCUAGUAAUAUGUUUGCCUGUAGAAGUAAAACCCAACACUUUUUGCAGCUCUUCUUCCAUUGUUUCUGAUCAGAAGCAUGAAUGGUAGCUUAUGUUUUCUAAACAGCUCAACUCUGCUGUUAAUUCUUCAUUCAAUAUCUUGAUCUCCAUGCCCUUCAAAUCUAGGUCUAACACAUGCUGCAAUUGUUAAUUCUAGGUCUAACACAUGCUGCAAUUGUUAAU